UAAACAAGGCAUAAAGAAGCAGAAAUAGGGGAAAUGGAGCGGAACUCAUGACGAUUGGCCGGGUCGUCACAUUUUUCCAAGAUCCCUUUUCCCUCUUUUCUUCUUUUAGGUUUUCGUCAUGAUUUUUAAUUUUGCAACCUACUGGCUGGUGUGUGUUAAAUCGGAUGGGCUUUGUGUGCUGCGAUGCUCAACAAUUCUUAAUUUUAUCACCCAGAUAGUAAGGUAAGCUAAAUUGGAGAAGGAGUUAACAGAUGUAGAAGCGAAAAGGAGCAGAGAAAGGAAGACAUACGCAUAUGUAAUCCAUAUAUGUAGUUCAGCAAAAUCUACCUUUUCAGAAAGUUUCCACAAAUUCAAGGUGGCAUUUUCUAUGAUGACGUCCACACUCUAGAGGAGAUAUAUUGUCUAUGUGAAAGGAUGCUCUUGUAUCAACCUGCAUCUCACAGUUAGAAGGUUGCGUUGUGCAAGUGGCAAUAGAAGUCGAGGAACGUGGCUGUCAGCCAUUACAAGCAGAUAGUCUUUCAACAUUCUUGGAAGUUUGCCUCAGUUGCUUUAAUCUCUUUAGAGUUGGAACCAUCCAUGAGUGAAUAUUUUGUUCCAAAAUGUAUGUAAAUAGUAUCUAGCAAUUAGUUUGUGAUGUUUAUGUCUGAUUUGAUUAAAACUUACAUGUGUUAACUUUUAUGUAUGCAAUUUCAUACUUGAACAAAGUUUAUAUAAUAAUAAUUUUAAUUUUUAUAA